UUGUGUCAUGGCUCUGGAUUGAAACGCUGGUUGGCAGGCCCUAGCGCAUGCAAGUCGAGCAGAUGAAGCGAGCUUGCUCCUGGAUUCAGCGGCGGACGGGUGAGUAAUGCCUAGGAAUCUGCAUGCUAGUGGGGGAUAACGUCCGGAAACGGGCGCUAAUACCGCAUACGUCCUGAGGGAGAAAGUGGGGGAUCUUCGGACCUCACGCUAUCAGAUGAGCCUAGGUCGGAUUAGCUAGUUGGUGGGGUAAAGGCCUACCAAGGCGACGAUCCGUAACUGGUCUGAGAGGAUGAUCAGUCACACUGGAACUGAGACACGGUCCAGACUCCUACGGGAGGCAGCAGUGGGGAAUAUUGGACAAUGGGCGAAAGCCUGAUCCAGCCAUGCCGCGUGUGUGAAGAAGGUCUUCGGAUUGUAAAGCACUUUAAGUUGGGAGGAAGGGCAGUAAGUUAAUACCUUGCUGUUUUGACGUUACCAACAGAAUAAGCACCGGCUAACUUCGUGCCAGCAGCCGCGGUAAUACGAAGGGUGCAAGCGUUAAUCGGAAUUACUGGGCGUAAAGCGCGCGUAGGUGGUUCAGCAAGUUGGAUGUGAAAUCCCCGGGCUCAACCUGGGAACUGCAUCCAAAACUACUGAGCUAGAGUACGGUAGAGGGUGGUGGAAUUUCCUGUGUAGCGGUGAAAUGCGUAGAUAUAGGAAGGAACACCAGUGGCGAAGGCGACCACCUGGACUGAUACUGACACUGAGUGCGAAGUCUUUUC
rnacentral:rRNA from 1 species